GACUGCCAUGCCACAAUGGUAAAAGCACUCUCCCUCUUGUCAAAUCGUUGGGAAAACUCACCCCUUUCUCUUUAGAUCUGCCUUUUGAUCCACCGCAACAUCCACCUUCUCCACACCAAAAACUCUCCUAUCCCUACUGUUUUUCUCACAUCCCCCUCCCCUCUUCACCAAAUUCUUUCAUCACUUUUUUUUACUACAAUUUGUUUUCAUGUUCACCACUUGUGUUCCUUCACCUUAUUUCUCUGCAUGUCCUGCCUCACGGUUGUUUUUGGUAAAAGGUUUUAAUUUUUUCCGCAUUCUCCGAUCACUCCAUUCUUUAACUUUCUCACUGCCUUCCUUCUCCAUCCUAAUCUUAACAAAGAAAAAAAAAAAACUAACAAAUCUUAGAUUUUGUUGCUGUUCGAGAGAAAAAAAGCAAAGGAGGGGAUAUAUAUUGAAUAUCUGAAGAGAGUACAAAUAUUCAUUAUGUUCUCCAUGAUCGCGUUCGUGACCAAUAUGUAUGAAGCUGAUGGAUCGCUCCCGAAAUCAUAGUAUAGUUGUCCAAAGUUUGAUGAUGAUGAACCUUCCUUUGAAUCGUAAUAUCCUAUUCCAAAGUCUGAUGAUUGUUUGAUUCUUGAAUCAUAAUGUCAUUCCAAAUGUCGGUAUCAUAUUAAUGUUUGUUUUGCAUCUGUGUCACGAAAGACACUUCUUCCACGUGUUGGUUAACUUCUUCUAAUUGUUCAAGCUCUUGCACUUGAGCACGUCUCUUUUAGCCUGAAGUAGUUACAAUAGAGACAUCAUAUAUAUAUUGAAUGUUCUCUAUGUACUGCUCGUUAUCGUUGUGUGUAUAUAUAUAUAUAUAUAUUUAGGACUUGUUAUGGAUCAUCUACAACAUCCUAAAAUCUACUAUUGUUCGAUAUCUAUGAAAUAUUAAAAUAAAUUGGAAAGCAUUGAAAAUUUUGUAUUAAAAA